rnacentral:rRNA from 1 species
AUGCUGGUUUGCAAGGACUACCUCGACAAGCUAUGGUGCAUGGAGUCUUGCAAGUCGUCGUCGUCCCGCGCCAUCAGCAAGCUUGUCCAUGCCCAUGUCAAACAAGGGUGGAAACGCUACAUCAAGGACACCGCCACUUACAGGGCCUUCAACGACAGGCGGGGCCAGGGCACUCUCCUCCGCGAGAAAUGCACGGACCUGGAGUGGAGCCUCAGGAGGCCGUUUGACGAGAGCGUCCUCCUGUGGCACCUCGCCACGGACCUGUGCUUCUAUCACAGUGACGUUGUGGGCAAGGGGGAGGACACGUACGUCUCCUCAGCGCCGCCGCAGCAGGGAGAUCUCCAACUACAUGAUGUACCUUAUGUUCGUGAACCCGGAGAUGCUCAUGACCGGCACCAGGCGCAGUCUGUUCCGCACAACCUGCCAUGGAGUCAAGCACAUGCUCGAUGA